rnacentral:rRNA from 1 species
CCGAUGGCGACCGGCGCACGGGUGAGUAACACGUAUCCAACCUGCCUCAUACUCGGGGAUAGCCUUUCGAAAGAAGGAUUAAUAUCCGAUAGCAUAUAUUUCCCGCAUGGGUUUUAUAUUAAAGAAAUUCGGUAUGAGAUGGGGAUGCGUUCCAUUAGUUUGUUGGGGGGUAACGGCCCACCAAGACUACGAUGGAUAGGGGUUCUGAGAGGAAGGUCCCCCACAUUGGAACUGAGACACGGUCCAA